UACAGAGGUCUCAAGCGUUGUUCGGAUUCAUUGGGCGUAAAGGGUGCGUAGGCGGCGCGGUAAGUCGGGUGUGAAAUCUCGGAGCUUAACUCCGAAACUGCAUUCGAUACUGCCGUGCUUGAGGACUGGAGAGGAGACUGGAAUUUACGGUGUAGCGGUGAAAUGCGUAGAUAUCGUAAGGAAGACCAGUGGCGAAGGCGGGUCUCUGGACAGUUCCUGACGCUGAGGCACGGAGGCCGGGGAGCAAACGGG
rnacentral:rRNA from 1 species